rnacentral:tRNA from 1 species
AAGGGUAUAGCUCAGUUGGUAGAGCCCAUGUCUUCAACACAUGUAGCGGUAGUUCGAAUCUACCUGCCCUUG